AUUGAACGCUGGCGGCAUGCCUUACACAUGCAAGUCGAACGGCAGCGGACCUUCGGGUGCCGGCGAGUGGCGAACGGGUGAGUAAUGCAUCGGAACGUACCUUUCAGUGGGGGAUAACGUAGCGAAAGUUACGCUAAUACCGCAUAUUCUGUGAGCAGGAAAGCAAGGGAUCGCAAGACCUUGCGCUGAUUGAGCGGCCGAUGUCAGAUUAGCUAGUUGGUGAGGUAAAGGCUCACCAAGGCGACGAUCUGUAGCGGGUCUGAGAGGAUGAUCCGCCACACUGGGACUGAGACACGGCCCAGACUCCUACGGGAGGCAGCAGUGGGGAAUUUUGGACAAUGGGGGCAACCCUGAUCCAGCCAUGCCGCGUGAGUGAAGAAGGCCUUCGGGUUGUAAAGCUCUUUCGGCCGGGAAGAAAUCGCACAGGCUAAUACCUUGCGUGGAUGACGGUACCGGAAUAAGAAGCACCGGCUAACUACGUGCCAGCAGCCGCCGUAAUAC
rnacentral:rRNA from 1 species